rnacentral:lncRNA from 1 species
UCUUAAAGCCCACUCCAACAGUGACACACCUACUCCAACAAGGCCACACCUACCCAACAAGGCCACACCUCCUGAUAGUGCCACUCCAAGAGCCAAGCAUAUACAAACUACCACACCCUCUGAGUCAUCUCACCAGCCCCAAAGGUACAUUUAAACAAAACUGUCUGACAUAAGUAUCCUUCAAAAACAUUCAAGGUCAUCAACAUUAGGCAAACUUAAGAGAACAACACAGACCAGAACACAAACACACACAGACUUCAUGUACAUGGUGUCCAUGAAGAUCCUAGACCCUGAUCCUAGAGCAGGAAAAGAUUAGAUGAAAGCUGUGGACAUCUAGGCUGUAGAUGUUGGCUAGUAGCUAAAUCUUAGAGUCACUCUAACAAUAGUAAGUGCACUAUGCUGAUGUAAGUUGCUACUGAUGGAAAGGGCAGGUGUAGGGUAGGAAGUGUCCAUACCUGUCUUCUAACUCCUUCCAUAUACAACAUUGCUCCCCAAGAGCAAUGUAUUUUUAAAAGAACAUGCUUUAAAAAAAAGAAGAAAGAAAGAAAGAAAGGAAGAAAGAAAAAAGAAAGAAAGAGAGAGAGAGAGAGAGAGAGAGAGAGAGAAAGAAAGAAAGAAAGAAAGAAAGAAAGAAAGAAAGAAAGAAAGAGAGAGAGAGAGAGAGAGAGAAUUCACUGUCCAUUAGCUGAAGCUGAGAUUUGCAUGCAUGAUUUUCCACACUACUGGCAGGAAAGCCUACAUUUGGGCUGGGCACAGGUAGUUCAAAAAGAAAAUAGAUGGACAUAUGGACAUAUGGACAUAAUGUAUAUAAGUGCAUUAGUCUAUUAACCUUCAGAAUCUUGGGAUAGCUAUGGAUACCCUUGAAACCAUGCUGGCCUUCCCCCAGAGUGAGACUUGCACAAGGGUUUUUCUAGAGCUCAAACCAUUGUCUGGAGCUCCGUGUACUGGGAAACUUGAUGAAUCUCUUACAUGUAAGAGCCUAGCAGUCUCGGAGGUUGUUCUAAACAUGAAGAUACUUAUUAACAAAAUUAAAUUUCUCCAUGCAUGUGUUUCAGUUGGUGUUUUAGAGCGUUUUCUCUCUGCCUUAUGAAUUGAGGGUCAUCGUCCGCUGUCUGACUCCUUGCAGCUUAGUGCUGGCACAGUGUGGUUCCUUAGCAAACUCAAGUGAGAGAUAACUAGUCACAAAACACCAUAAUUUUGUGCACCCAAAGGACUGUGACAUUCAUGGUAAAUAUGCCCACAAGCCAGUCUGGAAAGACGGCUGGGCAUUUACUUACCUUUCUUUUCUUUAGAGAUUAUUUAUGGUACAAAAAAGUAAUAACAUUAUUAUUCACCUCCUCAUUCCAUUAUAAUCAAGAAACCUCAGAGCCAUUCUCCAAUUGUUCUUCCUAUCUACAGGGUUCACAUUUCUUGGUAAAGGAAGCCACUAGUGAUU